rnacentral:rRNA from 1 species
UACGGAGGGGGCUAGCGUUGUUCGGAAUUACUGGGCGUAAAGCGCGCGUAGGCGGCUUUGUAAGUUAGAGGUGAAAGCCCGGAGCUCAACUCCGGAACUGCCUUUAAGACUGCAUCGCUAGAACGUUGGAGAGGUAAGUGGAAUUCCGAGUGUAGAGGUGAAAUUCGUAGAUAUUCGGAAGAACACCAGUGGCGAAGGCGACUUACUGGACAACUGUUGACGCUGAGGUGCGAAAGCGUGGGGAGCAAACAGGAUUAGAAACCCCGGUAGUCC